CCUACGGGAGGCUGCAGUGGGGAAUAUUGGGCAAUGGGCGCAAGCCUGACCCAGCAACGCCGCGUGAAGGAAGAAGGCUUUCGGGUUGUAAACUUCUUUUCUCAGGGACGAAGAAAGUGACGGUACCUGAGGAAUAAGCCACGGCUAACUACGUGCCAGCAGCCGCGGUAAUACGUAGGUGGCAAGCGUUAUCCGGAUUUACUGGGUGUAAAGGGCGUGUAGGCGGGAAAGCAAGUCAGAGGUGAAAACCAUGGGCUCAACCUGUGGCCUGCAUUUGAAACUGUUUUUCUUGAGUACUGGGGAGGCAGACGGAAUUCCUAGGGUAGCGGUGAAAUGCGUAGAUAUUAGGAGGAACACCAGUGGCGAAGGCGGUCUGCUGGACAGCAACUGACGCUGAGGCGCGAAAGCGUGGGGAGCAAACAGGAUUAGAUACCCGGGUAUUC
rnacentral:rRNA from 1 species